UAUUAUCAACCCCUCCAGCUCUUGUAGUUGGUAUUGGUGGCUUGGAUAUGGAGGUUUUGCAGGCACUUUUGAAGUGUCAGCUCCUCUGAAAUGCAUUAGCAGAACCGUUUGCAAUCUGUCAACUGGUGUGAUAAUUAUCUACGCUAGUGGAUUGCUCUCUGCAUGUUCAGCUUCUAAUAGCUUUCUUAUAUGAUGAACCU
rnacentral:misc_RNA from 1 species